CGUCCAGACUCCUACGGGAGGCAGCAGUGGGGAAUAUUGCACAAUGGGGGAAACCCUGAUGCAGCGACGCCGCGUGGGUGAAGAAGUACUUCGGUACGUAAAGCCCUAUCAGCAGGGAAGAAAAUGACGGUACCUGAUUAAGAAGCCCCGGCUAACUACGUGCCAGCAGCCGCGGUAAUACGUAGGGGGCAAGCGUUAUCCGGAUUUACUGGGUGUAAGGGGAGCGUAGGCGGUUUAGCAAGUCAGAAGUGAAAGCCCGGGGCUCAACUCCGGGACUGCUUUUGAAACUGUUGAACUAGAUUGCAGGAGAGGUAAGUGGAAUUCCCAGUGUAGCGGUGAAAUGCGUAGAUAUUAGGAGGAACACCGGUGGCGAAGGCGGCCUGCUGGACUGUAACUGACGUUGAGGCUCGAAAGCGUGGGGAGCAAACAGGAUUAGAUACCCUAGUA
rnacentral:rRNA from 1 species